rnacentral:misc_RNA from 1 species
GAUGAAGAACGCAGCGAAAUGCGAUAAGUAAUGUGAAUUCAGAAUUCAGUGAAUCAUCGAAUCUUUGAACGCACAUUGCGCCCUCUGGUAUUCCGGGGGGCAUGCCUGUUCGAGCGUCAUUAUAACCACUCAAGCUCUCGCUUGGUAUUGGGGCUCGCGGUUCCGCGGCCCCUAAAAUCAGUGGCGGUGCCUGUCGGCUCUACGCGUAGUAAUACUCCUCGCGAUUGAGUCCGGUAGGUCUACUUGCCAACAACCCCCAAUUUUUACAGGUUGACCUCGGAUCAGGUAGGGAUACCCGCUGAACUUAAGCAUAUCAAUAAGCGGAGGA